GGCUGGUCCGAAGGUAGUGAGUUAUCUCAAUUGAUUGUUCACAGUCAGUUACAGAUUGAAGUCCUUGUUCUACUCUUUCCCCUCUUCUCACUACUGCAAUUGACUAGUCUUAA
rnacentral:Y_RNA from 1 species